rnacentral:lncRNA from 1 species
UAGUAAAGAAUUAAACAAAAAUAAUAGAAAGCAUACACAUUAUUAGCAAAUCUUCAUUAUUUAAAAUCAUUAAUUACUAUAUAUAUCAUAAUCACAAUAGGUUGUAGGUUUUAUUUAAUGAAAUAAUAUAUAAUAAAUAGUCACCUUGCUUUAUUUAAUAUCAUAUGAUAUCAUAUCUUUAAGGAUUCUAUGAAUCAUUCUAUUGAUGACAAAUGGCUACAAAAAAAAUGUUGUAAUGCUUCUCAAAUAAUAUAUAGGGGAUAUGAUACAUAGAUAGUUGACUAUUUUGCAUAACGAACCAACUAAAAACGGAGUAUAACAAACAUACGUAAUUAUCAGUUUAUCCAUUUUUUAUAUUCUGGUCUGCCUGCAAAACAAAAGAACACAUAUAUGGUUGACACACGUAAACAAUGUAAUUAUAUGAUAGUCAACUAUUAUA